rnacentral:rRNA from 1 species
GAUGAACGCUGACAGAAUGCUUAACACAUGCAAGUCUACUUGAUUCUACUUCGGUAGUUGAUGGUGGCGGACGGGUGAGUAACGCGUAAAGAAUCUGCCCUUUAGUUUGGGAUAACCUUUGGAAACGAAGGCUAAUACCGGAUAUUAUGGAGACGUCGCAUGACGACUCCAUGAAAGCUAUAUGCGCUAGAGGAGGACUUUGCGUCCCAUUAGUUAGUUGGUGAGGUAAUGGCUCACCAAGACCGCGAUGGGUAGCCGGCCUGAGAGGGUGAUCGGCCACAAGGGAACUGAGACACGGUCCUUACUCCUACGGGAGGCAGCAGUGGGGAAUAUUGGACAAUGGGCCACAAGCCUGAUCCAGCAAUUCUGUGUGCGCGAUGAAGGUCUUCGGAUUGUAAAGUGCUUUCAGUAGGGAAGAAAAAAUGACGGUACCUACAGAAGAAGCGACGGCUAAAUAUGUGCCAGCCGCCGCGGUAACAC